rnacentral:rRNA from 1 species
UGGCGCAAGGGUGCGUAACUCGUAAGCAAUCUACCUUUAGAAGGGGAAUAACCCAGCGAAAGCCGGACUAAUACCCCAUAAUGCAGCGGCACCGCAGGGUGAUGUUGUUAAAGUCUAUAUGACGUCUAGAGAUGAGCUUGCGUCUGAUUAGCUAGUUGGUGAGGUAACGGCUCACCAAGGCUACGAUCAGUAGCUGGUCUGAGAGGAUGAUCAGCCACACUGGAACUGAGACACGGUCCAGACUCCUACGGGAGGCAGCAGUGAGGAAUAUUGGGCAAUGGACGCAAGUCUGACCCAGCAACGCCGCGUGAAGGAUGAAUGUCGUAAGAUUGUAAACUUCUGUGAGAAGGGACGAAAAAACAGGCUCAAACCCUGUUCUGACGGUACCUUCAGAGGAAGCCCCGGCUAACUACGUGCCAGCAGCCGCGGUAAUACGUAGGGGGCUAGCGUUGUCCGGAUUUACUGGGUGUAAAGGGCGCGUAGGCGGGCUUGUUAGUCAGAGGUGAAACCCUGCAGCUUAACUGCAGAACUGCCUUUGAUACUGCAAGUCUUGAGUCUAGAAGAGAGAAGCGGAAUUCCAGGUGUAGUGGUGAAAUACGUAGAUAUCUGGAAGAACACCGGUUGCGAAGGCGGCUUCUUGGUCUAGCACUGACGCUGAGGCGCGAAAGCGUGGGUAGCAAACAGGAUUAGAUACCCUGGUAGUCCACGCUGUAAACUAUGAAUACUAGAUGUUGGGCUUUAUGUCCAGCGUCGAAGCUAACGCAUUAAGUAUUCCACCUGGGGAGUACGAUCGCAAGGUUGAAACUCAAGGAAUUGACGGGGGCCCGCACAGCAGUGAGCAUGUGGUUUAUUCG